rnacentral:rRNA from 1 species
CAGUCGCCGCGGUAAUACAGAGGGUGCGAGCGUUAAUCGGAUUUACUGGGCGUAAAGCGUGCGUAGGUGGCCAGUUAAGUCAAAUGUGAAAUCCCCGAGCUUAACUUGGGAAUUGCAUUCGAUACUGGUUGGCUAGAGUAUGAGAGAGGAUGGUAGAAUUCCAGGUGUAGCGGUGAAAUGCGUAGAGAUCUGGAGGAAUACCGAUGGCGAAGGCAGCCAUCUGGCCUAAUACUGACACUGAGGUACGAAAGCAUGGGGAGCAAACAGGAUUAGAUACCCCAGUAGUCCCUGUCUCUUAUAA